rnacentral:tRNA from 1 species
GGCCGUUAGCUCAGUUGGUUAGAGCGUCGUGCUAAUAACGCGAAGGUCGUGGGUUCGAUCCCCCCACGGGCCA